GGCAGCUGCAGCAGCAUCUGGCAGCAGCAGCAUCUGCCAGCAGCACUACGGCCGUCACGCACGAAUUAGAGUUUGAUCCUGGCUCAGGAUGAACGCUAGCUACAGGCUUAACACAUGCAAGUCGAGGGGCAGCAUGAUCGAAGCUUGCUUUGAUUGAUGGCGACCGGCGCACGGGUGAGUAACGCGUAUCCAACCUUCCCUAUAGUAGAGGAUAGCCCGGCGAAAGUCGGAUUAAUACUCUAUGUUUUCCAAUGCAGACAUUAAGUCGAACAAGGAUCAUAAUCAGAGUUCGCGUGGUACUUACUCGAAUCACGGCGUGUAACG
rnacentral:rRNA from 1 species